UACGUAGGGACCAAGCGUUGUUCGGAUUUACUGGGCGUAAAGGGCGCGUAGGCGGCGUGACAAGUCACUUGUGAAAUCUCCGGGCUUAACUCGGAACGGCCAAGUGAAACUGUCAUGCUAGAGUGCAGAAGGGGCAAUCGGAAUUCUUGGUGUAGCGGUGAAAUGCGUAGAUAUCAAGAGGAACACCUGAGGUGAAGACGGGUUGCUGGGCUGACACUGACGCUGAGGCGCGAAAGCCAGGGGAGCAAACGGGAUUAGAUACCCCGGUAGUCCUGGCCCUAAACGAUGAAUACUUGGUGUCUGGAGUUAUUAGUGCUCCGGGUGCCGUCGCUAACGUUUUUAGUAUUCCGCCUGGGGAGUACGCUCGCAAGAGUGAA
rnacentral:rRNA from 1 species